CUACACACGUGCUACAAUGGCAGGUACAGAGGGCUGCGAAGCCGCGAGGUGGAGCGAAUCCCAGAAAACCUGUCUCAGUCCGGAUUGAAGUCUGCAACUCGACUUCAUGAAGGCGGAAUCGCUAGUAACCGCGAAUCAGCAGGUCGCGGUGAAUACGUUCCCGGGCCUU
rnacentral:rRNA from 1 species